AGACUUGACUCUCCCAAUGACAGUAUAAAAACGUACACAGGCUGUCAGAUUCUCACUCGCCGCCAAUACCGACAGCAAACAUGAGGACCCUUAUAGUGAUCGCCGUGCUCUCGUUGUGUGCAUGCCUAUGCGUAUCUGAGUCCUGUAAAGCGGCCUCCGACUGUACUAACACUCAUUGUCAUCACGCCACUUUGAGCUGUACCCAUGGAGACUGCAUAUGUACCAGCUCUUCAACACACACUGGGCAUUCAUGCCAAGACCGAGACGACUGUCCCUCCUGUUCUGGCCGACGCCCACACUGCGUCGACGGAGGAUGUCAUUGUUUCGUUAUUGGUUAAGAGUAUAUGAAGAAAUCUUCGUGGUAUUAGCGAACUUACAGCUUGUAAUACUUAAUAAAUAAAAUACUUCCAGCAGCAAAAA